rnacentral:rRNA from 1 species
CCUACGGGGGACUGCAGUGGGGGAUAUUGCACAAUGGGGGAAACCCUGAUGCAGCGACGCCGCGUGAGUGAAGAAGUAUUUCGGUAUGUAAAGCUCUAUCAGCAGGGAAGAAAAUGACAGUACCUGCCCAAGAAGCCCCGGCUAACUACGUCCCAGCAGCCGCGGUAAUACGUAGGGGGCAAGCGUUAUCCGGAUUUACUGGGUGUAAAGGGGGCGUAGACGGUUAUGUAAGUCUGGAGUGAAAGCCCGGGGCCCAACCCCGGGACUGCUUUGGAAACUGUGUAACUGGAGUACAGGAGGGGCAGGCGGAAUUCCUGGUGUAGCGGUGAAAUGCGUAGAUAUCAGGAGGAACACCGGCGGCGAAGGCGGCCUGCUGGACUGAAACUGACGUUGAGGCUCGAAAGCGUGGGGAGCAAACAGGAUUAGAUACCCUGGUAGUC